ACCCUAGGGCUUUUCUUCUUCAAUGCUUCUUAUUUCUAUAUCCAAAAUUCAGCCUUUCAGUUAGAAGACAACAGGAUUUUAUGAAAACCUUGAAGUUUCAAAUUUUAUUCUGUUCAAAAUUACAUAGUUUAGUUCAAGUAGAAGGUUGAAACUGUUUGAUGAAAUAUAUUCGCAAAAGCAUUAAUCUUUCGGCGCAAUUUUGCAGAGAAACUGAGAGGCAAUGGAGGGCAGGAUUUCGAAUGCGUGGCGGUUGACAGUGAACGAUAAGAAUUUCAUCAAAACUGCUCUGCUUUCUGAAAUUCGAAUCGAUGGCCGAAAGCCCUUUGAAUACCGUAAGAUUUCAAUCAAGUUUGACAGAGGGGAUGGAUCAUCGGAGGUGCAGAUAGGCCAGACUCGUGUUAUGGGCAUUGUUACUGCUCAAUUGAUUCAGCCUUAUAAAGAUCGGCCUAAGGAAGGGACGCUUUCAAUCUUCACAGAAUUUUCUCCAAUGGCUGAUCCUUCUUUUGAGCCAGGUCGUCCUGGAGAAUUGGCUGUGGAGUUGGGACGUAUAAUUGAUCGUGGUCUAAGGGAUGUGGUGGAACUUAGAUUCUGGUUUGUAUCUGCGUUGUCUUAUUCAAAUAAAGAUAUGUGCAAGUUUAUUCUGGGGGCUGUUUUUUGGUCAAUUUGGAAGAUGAGAAAUGAAAUUAUUUUUGAAAGAGGUAAGCUGGACACAUCCUCACUGUUUUUCACAGUUAGGUUAAGGCCUGUGGUUAGCUGGAGUCCUCCUCCAGGCGAUGUUUUUAUGUUUAACGUGGAUGGUGCUGUGAGUAGUGUUGGGAUGUUAGCUGGAAUUGGGGGAAUUCUCAGAGAUUGGAAUCAGAUUAAGCUUAUGUCGUUUUCAGAAAAAAAUAGGUCCUACUCCAAUCAUUUUAGCAGAGUUGAAAGCUAUCAAAAGAGGCUUAGACAUCUUUCUGUCAUCAGAAUGGGUAAUGAAGGGAAGGUUCAUUAUUGAAAGUGAUUGCAAGUUAGCCGUGGAUUGGUUGAAAUAUCAGGAGUCGGUUCCACCUUUUCUUUUAAAUUUUGUUAAGGAUAUUGCGGCUACUGUUUCUGAGAAUGAGGUCAUUGUGAGGUGGAUUCCGAGAAGCUGUAAUUGCGAGGUAGAUUUGCUUGCAAAGGAGGGGAUUGGGUAGUGGUUCAUUUUGUUGUACUGAGUUCGGAGGUUUUAUACCAAGGGUGUUAUUAGAGUGUGUUGAAGUUUUAUGUAUCUACAAGGAGUGGUUUAAGUCUUAUGUAAUCUAUUUAUAAUCAAUAUAUUCAGGGAAAGCAGGGCUGUGGAUACUGAAUCACUGUGUAUUCUAGCUGGCAAGUAUGUGUGGGCUAUUCGGAUUGAUCUCCACAUUCUAG